rnacentral:lncRNA from 1 species
GGUCUUACAUUUCCGAGAGUACAAAUCUUGGUAGAAUGAGACAACUUUUCUAUCUACGAAUGUGACCUACAAAGGUACGAAUGUGACCUACAAAGUCCACCGUGGUGAGAUGUUGGUGGCCAAUUCAUCAGCAGUCAGAGGAAUCGUCCCCCACAACAUCACAGUGGGAUCAGAGGUGGAGCAACAGCUGGGCUCUGGCUGCCACCAGCUGACCCUGCAUGCUUCGGUCUUGGGCGUGUUCACUGAGCUGCAGGUGUCUGGAGCCAACGGCAGCAUCUCAAAGACCAGAGACAUUUGA